rnacentral:lncRNA from 1 species
CUGACCUGAUGGAAAAAAUAGAAUGACCCUGAUGGAAAAAAUAGAAUGUCCCUGAUGGAAAAUAUAUGGUAUUUGAACCUAUACGUUUCGAUAAAUGGGAUGAUGAUGAUAAUGUGACCCUUAAUGGAAUGAAAAUAGAAAGCCUACUUUGUUUUAAAUUCUAUAAAAUAGAAUGACCCGAUGGACAAAAUAGAAUAUCCCAGAUGGAAAAUAUAUGGUAUUAAAACUUAUACGGUUCGAUAAAUCGUAGGAUGAUGGUACUGUGACCCUUAAUCGAAUGAAAAUAGAAAGACUACUUUGUUUUAAAUUCUAUAUAAUAGAAUGACCAGAGGGAAAAAGAAGAAUGACCCUGAUGGAAACAAUAGAAUGUACCUAAUUGAAAAUAUAUGGCAUUUGAACCUAUACGGUUCAAUAAAUGGAAUGAUGAUGGUACUGUGACUCUUAAUCGAAUGAAAAUAGAUAGCCUGCUGCCUACUUUGUUUUAAAUUCUAUGAAAUCAAAUGACCCGAUGGAAAAAUAGCAUGACCCUGAUGGAAAAAAUAAAAUAUCGCUGAUGGAAAAUAUAUGGUAUGUGAACCUGUACAGUUAUAAAUUCUAUGAAAUAGAAUGACCCGAUGGAAAAAAUAGAAUAACCCUUAUGGAAAAAAUAUAAUGUCCCUGAUGGAAAAUACAUCGUAUUUGAACCUAUACUGUUCGAUAAAUGGUAUGAUGAUGGUACUGUGACCUUUAAUCGAAUGAAAAAAGAAAGACUACUUUGUUUUAAAUUCUAAAAAAUAGAAUGACCCGAUGGAAAAAAUAAAAUGUCCCUGAUGGAAAAUAUAUGAUUGUACUGUGACACUUAAUCGAAUAAAAAUAGAAAGCCUACUUUGUUUUAAAUUCUAUGAAAUAGAAUGACCCGAUGGAAAAAAUAGAAUGACCCUGAUGGAAAAAAUAGAAUGUCCCUGAUGGAAAAUAUAUGGUAUUUGAACCUAUACGGUUCGAUAAAUGGGAGGAUGAUGAUACUGUGACUCUUAAUGGAAUGAAAAUAGAAAGCCUACUUUGUUUUAAAUUCUAUAAAAUAGAAUGACCCGAUGGAAAAAAUAAAAUGUCCCUGAUGGAAAAUAUAUGAUUGUG